GUCCCGGCGGUAAACGAUGGGCACUAGGUGUUGGAGGUAUCGACCCCUUCAGUGCCGCAGCUAACGCAUUAAGUGCCCCGCCUGGGGAGUACGGCCGCAAGGCUGAAACUCAAAGGAAUUGACGGGGCCCGCACAAGCGGUGGAGUAUGUGGUUCAAUUCGAUGCAACGCGCAGAACCUUACCUGGGCUUGACAUGUACUGGACAGAGGCUGAAAGGUCUCCUCCUUCGGGGAUCGGUGCACAGGUGCUGCAUGGCUGUCGU
rnacentral:rRNA from 1 species